UUAUGGCCACAUCAUGUUGAAACACUGGUUCCAGUACGAUCACUGAAGUUAAGCAACAUAGAGCUUGGUCAGUACCUAGAUGGGUGACCACUUGGGAAUACCAGG